UACGUAGGCAGCGAGCGUUGUUCGGAGUUACUGGGCGUAAAGAGUGCGUAGGCGGUUUUCUAAGUUUGGUGUGAAAUCUCCCGGCUUAACUGGGAGGGUGCGCCGAAGACUGGAAGGCUUGAGUAUGGGAGAGGUAAGCGGGAAUUCCUGGUGUAGCGGUGAAAUGCGUAGAUAUACAGGAGGAACACCUGCGGUGUAGACGGCUUACUGGACCUAACUGACGCUGAGGCACGAAAAGCGUGGGUAGCAAACAGG
rnacentral:rRNA from 1 species